AGAGUUUGAUCAUGGCUCAGAUUGAACGCUGGCGGCAUGCUUUACACAUGCAAGUCGAACGGUAACGCGGGGGCAACCCUGGCGACGAGUGGCGAACGGGUGAGUAAUACAUCGGAACGUGUCCUGAGGUGGGGGAUAACCUAUCGAAAGGUAGGCUAAUACCGCAUACGCUCGGGAGAGGAAAGCGGGGGAUCGGUAACGACCUCGCGCUGCAGGAGCGGCCGAUGUCCGAUUAGCUAGUUGGUGGGGUAAAGGCUUACCAAGGCGACGAUCGGUAGCUGGUCUGAGAGGAUGAUCAGCCACACUGGGACUGAGACACGGCCCAGACUCCUACGGGAGGCAGCAGUGGGGAAUUUUGGACAAUGGGGGCAACCCUGAUCCAGCCAUGCCGCGUGAGUGAAGAAGGCCUUCGGGUUGUAAAGCUCUUUCGGUGGGAACGAAACAGUUACCACUAACACUGGUGACUACUGACGGUACUCACAGAAGAAGCACCGGCUAACUACGUGCCAGCAGCCGCGGUAAUACGUAGGGUGCGAGCGUUAAUCGGAAUUACUGGGCGUAAAGCGUGCGCAGGCGGUGGCUCAAGCCAGGCGUGAAAUCCCCGGGCUUAACCUGGGAAUGGCGUUUGGGACUGGGUCGCUAGAGUGUGGCAGAGGGAGGUGGAAUUCCACGUGUAGCAGUGAAAUGCGUAGAGAUGUGGAGGAACACCGAUGGCGAAGGCAGCCUCCUGGGCCAGCACUGACGCUCAUGCACGAAAGCGUGGGGAGCAAACAGGAUUAGAUACCCUAGUAGUCC
rnacentral:rRNA from 1 species